rnacentral:rRNA from 1 species
AAUCAAGUGGAGGACAAGUCUGGUGCCAGCACCCGCGGUAAUUCCAGCUCCACUAGCGUAUAUUAAAGUUGUUGCAGUUAAAAAGCUCGUAGUUGAACCUCUGUCUGGGGCUAGUUUUGGCUUUGGUCAGGCUAGUUCUAGGCAUCCGCCUACAAGACUUAGAGGGCAUUCAGUUGUUCACUAGGAGGAGUAGGCAUUUUACUUUGAAAAAAUUAGAGUGUUUAAGGCAGGCAAUCGCCCGCAUAUAUUAGCAUGGAAUAAUAGAAUAGGACACUUUUCCAUUUCGUUGGUUAUUGGAAUCGUGUAAUGAUUAAUAGGGACAGUUGUGGGCAUUUGUAUUUAAUUGUCAGAGGUGAAAUUCUUGGAUUUAUUAAAGACAAACUAACGCGAAAGCAUUUGCCAAGGAUGUUUUCAUUAAUCAAGAACGAAAGUUAGGGGAUCAAAGACGAUCAGAUACCGUCCUAGUCUUAACUAUAAACUAUUCCGACUCAAUGUUUGACUGGCUUAUAUAACCAGUUGAGCGUUGUAUGAGAAAUCAAAGUCUUUAGGUUCUGGGGGGAGUAUGGUUGCAAAGCUGAAACUUAAAGGAAUUGACGGAAGAGCACAACCAGGAGUGGAUUCUGCGGCUUAAUUUGACUCAACACGGGGAAACUUACCAGGUUAAAACAAUAGUGGGAUUGACAGUUUGAGAGCGCUUUCUUGAUUGGUUGGGUGGUGGUGCAUGGCCGUUCUUAGUUGGUGGAGUGAUUUGUCUGCUUAAUUGCGUUAACGAACGAGACCUUAACCUGCUUACUAGACUGGCGAUCAUCAAUCGUUAGCUCUUCUUAGAGGGACUUUGGUUGUUUUAACUCCAAGGAAGUUUGAGGCAAUAACAGGUCUGUGAUGCCCUUAGAUAUCCUGGGCCGCACGCGUCAUACAAUGACUAGUUCAGAAAGUUUUCUCCUGACCCGAAAGGGGAUGGGUAAUCUUGAUAAUACUAGUCGUGUUAGGGAUCGAUCUUUGCAAUUAUAGAUCUUGAACGAGGAAUUCCUAGUAAGUGCGGUUCAUCAGACCGUACUGAUUACGUCCCUGCUCUUUGUACACACCGCCCGUCGCUUCUACCGAGUGGGUGGUCCGGUGAGAUAAUUGAACUUCGCAGGUAACUGAGAGGAAAGACUAUCAAACCUAUCCACCUCGAGGAAGAAGAAGUCGUAACAAGG